CCCUGGCCCGCGGGAGCACAUAGGUCUACUCAGGAAACAUCACCACCUAGGCUCUUCCAGACCCUUCCGGACCCUUCCAGACCCUUCUGGAGGUCCUGCUCCCACGUUCGCUCACCUCCUACGCCAGCCUUACUUUCAAAGACGGGAGAAAGGGGGAGCUUUGGACGACCUCAUGGAACAAAGGUGAGGAUGUCUUCACUUUGGUAAUUAAAUGCUUAGAUGUCAUUUUGUGACCUGAUGUCUGUUCCUGCCCCUGCAGCACACAAAUCACUCAAACCUGCACCCUGGCCAGGGUCUGCACCUCCUGCUCCGAGCACUGGCGGUACCUCAUCUCGGGUGCCAGCCUUUUGGCUCUGGAAGCAGCCACAGCUAGGACUGCCGCUGGGAGAGGAGAAAACUUGGUUUGUAGAAGGCAGGAGCAGAGCCUGACUCCAGGAUCCUCCAGGCCUGUGUGGGCACCUUUUAGGGUCCAAAGCCCUCUAGAAACACGCUCCAAAAACCAAAUUCCA
rnacentral:lncRNA from 1 species